CAGAGGUCUCAAGCGUUGUUCGGAUUCAUUGGGCGUAAAGGGUGCGUAGGCUGCGAGGCAAGUCAGGUGUGAAAUCCCGGGGCUCAACCCCGGAACUGCACUUGAUACUGCCGUGCUAGAGUACUGGAAGGGAGACUGGAAUUUACGGUGUAGCAGUGAAAUGCGUAGAUAUCGUAAGGAAGACCAGUGGCGAAGGCGAGUCUCUGGACAGUUACUGACGCUGAGGCACGAAGGCCAGGGGAGCAAACGGGAUUAGAUACCCCGGUAGUCCUGGCAGUAAACGGUGCGCGUUUGGUGUGGGAGGAUUCGACCCCUUCCGUGCCGGAGCUAACGCGUUAAACGCGCCGCCUGGGGAGUACGGUCGCAAGAUUA
rnacentral:rRNA from 1 species